rnacentral:rRNA from 1 species
CCUACGAGGUGCAGCAGUAGGGAAUCUUCCACAAUGGACGAAAGUCUGAUGGAGCAACGCCGCAUGAGUGAAGAAGGGUUUCGGCUCGUAAAGCUCUGUUGGUAGUGACGAAAGAUAGAGGUAGUAACUUGCCUUUAUUUGACGGUAAUUACUUAGAAAGUCACGGCUAACUACGUGCCAGAAACCGCGGUAAUACGUAGGUGGCAAGCGUUGUCCGGAUUUAUUGGGCGGAAAGGGAGUGCAGGCGGUUUAAUAAGUCUGAUGUGAAAGCCGUCGGCUCAACCGGAGAAUUGCAUCAGAAACUGUUGAACUUGAGGGCAGAAGAGGAGAGUGGAACUCCAGGUGUAGCGGUGGAAUGCGUAGAUAUAUGGAAGAACACCAGUGGCGAAGGCGGCUCUCUGGUCUGCAACUGACGCUGAGGCUCGAAAGCAUGGGUAGCGAACAGGAUUAGAUACCCCUGUAGUC